rnacentral:tRNA from 1 species
GUCCUUGUCGUUCAAUGGAUAGGAUACCUCCCUCCGAAGGAGGAAAUGCUGGUUCGAUUCCAGCCAAGGGCA